rnacentral:misc_RNA from 1 species
AAAUAUCAGAAUGACAAGGAGGUUAUGGAAGUCUUCAACAAAAUAUCAGAACUCUUCCCGGGAGUGACAGGUUCUUAGUCUCAUAACUCGUGCAAAACUGCUGUUCCUGAAGAUAAAUACGCUGGUGGAUUUGCAGUUUUGCACGAGUUAUGAGACUAAGAACCUGUCACUCCCUGCUGGUUUUUCCAUUUCUAAUUUGAAAAAUGUUCAAAAUUUUGGAUAUUGUCUCCUCC